rnacentral:rRNA from 1 species
AAAAAGAAAGAUUACCUGGAAAAUCUUCAAAGAUUGUUUCUGGUUUUUCUUAAGGGUUUUUAAAAACUUUAAAACCAGGUUAGAAAAUCAUCAUGAAUUUUCUAAUAUGUACAAAAGAAAAAUCGAAAAACCGUACUUAAACCAACACAGGUGGAUAAGCUGAAUAAGCAAAGGCCAUGGCGUACCCUCGGGAAAGGAACUCGGCAAAUUACUAGCGUGACUUCGGAGGAAGCUAGACCACUUUAGAGUGGUGUCACUAAAGAAGGGAUGGCAACUGUUUAAUAAAAACACAAGGCUCUGCUAUGUGGUAACACGUUGUAUAGAGCCUGACGCCUGCCCGGUACUGGAAGAUACGUUUUUUCUAUGAAAGUAGAAAAACAGAAGGACCCGUGAACGGCAGCCAUAACUCUGAUGGUUCUAAGGUAAACAAAAGCUCGCUGCCUUAGUAAAAUCAAGCUAUAUGCUGGAAACCCCUAAAGCUUUGAAUACAAGCUUUUUUCUAUAAAAGCUGUUUGUAAUAAUUUCAAAGAUGUCACAAUGGGCAAUCAGCAGGAAACCAAAUUUCAUAGAUUUUUUAGAAUCAAGGCUUUAAGCUUAGUUCAAAGAACACGGAAAAAGUAGGAUCCUCAGAGACCAGACGCUUGACUUAUUAUCAAAUUUAAGUCUAUUUUUUUAAUAGGAAGAUAGAGUCCAACCCUUGUGUUUUCGUUGUUUAAAAACGAAAAACUAGAUUGUAUAGAAAAAUAAAAAGCUUUCAUGCAGUUUUUCUUGAGAUCUACUAGAAAUAGAAGGAGUUAAACCUUUUAAGGUUUUUGAGCGAAAUUCCUUGCCAAAUAAUUGUUGGCCUGCAUGAAUGGCGUAAUGACUGUCCUGCUGUCUCUCCCGAGGUGCCAGCGAACUUGACAUUCUCGUGAAGAGGCGAGAAAUUUAGCACGGGACGAUGAGACCCCGUGCACCUUAACUUCAAGCUGUUAUUGCUUUUCUUUUUUAAUAUGUUCAGCAUAGGUGGGACUUUUUUAUAAAAAGAAAAGAACCUUGAGAUACCACCCUUAUUAAGAAAAAAAGCUCCAGAAGAUUUUUUCUUAGGGUUUGGCAGUAUGGGAGUUUCUCUGGGGCGGAGGCCUCCAAAAAGGUAUCGGGGGCGCGCCAAGGUUAGAAAUCAUUCUUCUUGGGGUUUGAUUUAGUGGCAAUCCAUUCUUCUAGCCUGACUGUAAGGAAAACUCUCCGAACAGGCACGCAAGUGGGCGAUAGUGACCCAGUGUUUUGGUGUGGAAAAAAUACUGAUCAUCGGAUCAAAGGUACGCCGGGGAUAACAGGUUCAUCGGCUCCUAGAGUCCCUAUCGACGAGCCGGUUUGACAACAAUAAAUGUCCUGUAUUUAAGUGAUUAAAUACUUAGCAUUGGGUGAAUUGUCAAGGAAAGCCUUGAAAAAGAAUAGGUUAGAAACAUAACGUUCGUCGACGUUUUGUAUUUAAAAUUGCAUUAAGCCUUCAACCUAUACACUCUUAAGGUCUACUUGCAGCGAAGCUUUCAUCGUAGAUAUAUUUGUAUAAAUUCAAGAUUUAGAAACAAAAGGGUGACUGAACGUUCAACGACUUAGAUAGUGAGUAUCUACAACAAUAAUCUAUCCACGAGUGCCCAACAGCUUUUUCUAAACCAACCUUUUAUGUUUGUUAUUUGAUUGACUGGCCAAAGUAACAACAACCAAAAGCGAAGUUUGCAUUUUGUCCAAGGAACUCAACCAAAAGUUUGGUCUUAACACAAAACCUAUGGAAAAAAAGAAAUCUAAAAAAAAGAUCCAUUAUUAGAUGUUGAGAGUCAACAGCUUUCUUCUUAUUGGAUUAUUUAUGUUCCAAAAGCUUCCUUUGAGAUUUUGUGUAAAAUGCCUGUUUUUUGUGAAACGGUUCGAACUAUUGCUUCCUUAGCUCAUAAAAUGCCCAUGAAUAUUGUUUAAAAGGUUGGUUUUUUUAGAAAUAUGGAAUUUCUAGAAAAAAGGAAAAAGUUGAUGACAUAGUCUGAGCUAUAUAUAAGAAACUUUAGACGAAAUGUUUAGGUUUUGAAAUUAUAGAAGCAACACAAUUAAAAAAGUUGCGAUAACAUUUCUGACCUCGAUGUCGACUCUUCGUGUCCUCUGGCUGCAGAAGGUCAGAAGGGUAGGACUGUUCGUCCUUUAAAACGGAACGUGAGUUGGGUUUAAUGCGUCGCGAGACAGUAUGGUUCCUAUCUGUGCUAAAUAUAGACUUAUACAUAGACCCUCCAGUACGAGAGGACCGGUGGGGUCCCAACCUCUGGUCUAUCGGUUAUUCUUUCAAGGGUAGCGCCGAGCAGCUAAGUUGGCAACCAGAACCGCUGAAAGCAUCUUAAGCGGGAAAGGUGUGUAGAAACAGGUCUCUUAUUUCGUAGAAGUCUACUACGUAGAUCGGCAACAGGUAUAAGUGUGUAAGCAUGGGCUUGGUUGUACGAAAUAAAUAUUGUUAUUUAUUCUUUAUUUUUUAUAUUGCAUCUUUUUUUAUUUUAUUAUACACAUAGGUAGCCAAACGUUCGGUCAGUGGCAGAAGAAAAAUUGCAAAGUUUUUUGGACAUGUCCGAAGUGAUUAUGCAUGAAUAAGUAGCUUAAAGUCUAAAAGACGGCCGAAAAUCCUAGGUUUUCUGCGCAAUGUUAAACAACGCAGAGUGAAUCGGUUUCUAAGAAGAAAUCCUUUGGUUUCUUUGAUGAACGUAUUGGUUUUUGUUGCUUGAAGUUUGUAGUCAAUCUUUUUUCAUGUUUUAUCCAUAUUUUAGCUUUUUAAAAGCAG